rnacentral:rRNA from 1 species
GACGAACCAUGAUGUCAUUUAUUUGGUGUUGUGGGGAAUCAGGACUGUUACUUUGAAAAAAUUAGAGUGUUUAAAGCAGGCUCACGCUUGAAUACAUUAGCAUGGAAUAAUGAAAUAGGACGUUUGAUUCUAUUUUGUUGGUUUCUAGGAUCGACGUAAUGAUUAAUAGGGAUAGUUGGGGGCAUUAGUAUUCAAUUGUCAGAGGUGAAAUUCUUGGAUUUAUUGAAGACUAACUACUGCGAAAGCAUUUGCCAAGGAUGUUUUCAUUAAUCAAGAACGAAAGUUAGGGGAUCGAAGACGAUCAGAUACCGUCGUAGUCUUAACCAUAAACUAUGCCGACUAGGGAUCGGAUGAUGUUAAUUUUUUAAUGACUCAUUCGGCGCCUUACG